CGGUACGUACUGGCAUUGUUGGUUUCUCCCUUCUGACGAACCAUGAUGUCAUUUAUUUGGUGUUGUGGGGAAUCAGGACUGUUACUUUGAAAAAAUUAGAGUGUUUAAAGCAGGCUCACGCUUGAAUUCAUUAGCAUGGAAUAAUGAAAUAGGACGUUUGAUUCUAUUUUGUUGGUUUCUAGGAUCGACGUAAUGACUAAUAGGGAUAGUUGGGGGCAUUAGUAUUCAAUUGUCAGAGGUGAAAUUCUUGGAUUUAUUGAAGACUAACUACUGCGAAAGCAUUUGCCAAGGAUGUUUUCAUUAAUCAAGAACGAAAGUUAGGGGAUCGAAGACGAUCAGAUACCGUCGUAGUCUUAACCAUAAACUAUGCCGACUAGGGAUCGGAUGAUGGUAAUUUUUUAAUGACUCAUUCGGCGCCUUACG
rnacentral:rRNA from 1 species